rnacentral:rRNA from 1 species
GUUAAGCGACUAAGCGUACACGGUGGAUGCCCUGGCAGUCAGAGGCGAUGAAGGACGUGCUAAUCUGCGAUAAGCGUCGGUAAGGUGAUAUGAACCGUUAUAACCGGCGAUUUCCGAAUGGGGAAACCCAGUGUGUUUCGACACACUAUCAUUAACUGAAUCCAUAGGUUAAUGAGGCGAACCGGGGGAACUGAAACAUCUAAGUACCCCGAGGAAAAGAAAUCAACCGAGAUUCCCCCAGUAGCGGCGAGCGAACGGGGAGCAGCCCAGAGCCUGAAUCAGUGUGUGUGUUAGUGGAAGCGUCUGGAAAGGCGCGCGAUACAGGGUGACAGCCCCGUACACAAAAAUGCACAUAUUGUGAGCUCGAUGAGUAGGGCGGGACACGUGGUAUCCUGUCUGAAUAUGGGGGGACCAUCCUCCAAGGCUAAAUACUCCUGACUGACCGAUAGUGAACCAGUACCGUGAGGGAAAGGCGAAAAGAACCCCGGCGAGGGGAGUGAAAAAGAACCUGAAACCGUGUACGUACAAGCAGUGGGAGCCUCUUUUAUGGGGUGACUGCGUACCUUUUGUAUAAUGGGUCAGCGACUUAUAUUCUGUAGCAAGGUUAACCGAAUAGGGGAGCCGAAGGGAAACCGAGUCUUAACUGGGCGUUAAGUUGCAGGGUAUAGACCCGAAACCCGGUGAUCUAGCCAUGGGCAGGUUGAAGGUUGGGUAACACUAACUGGAGGACCGAACCGACUAAUGUUGAAAAAUUAGCGGAUGACUUGUGGCUGGGGGUGAAAGGCCAAUCAAACCGGGAGAUAGCUGGUUCUCCCCGAAAGCUAUUUAGGUAGCGCCUCGUGAAUUCAUCUCCGGGGGUAGAGCACUGUUUCGGCAAGGGGGUCAUCCCGACUUACCAACCCGAUGCAAACUGCGAAUACCGGAGAAUGUUAUCACGGGAGACACACGGCGGGUGCUAACGUCCGUCGUGAAGAGGGAAACAACCCAGACCGCCAGCUAAGGUCCCAAAGUCAUGGUUAAGUGGGAAACGAUGUGGGAAGGCCCAGACAGCCAGGAUGUUGGCUUAGAAGCAGCCAUCAUUUAAAGAAAGCGUAAUAGCUCACUGGUCGAGUCGGCCUGCGCGGAAGAUGUAACGGGGCUAAACCAUGCACCGAAGCUGCGGCAGCGACGCUUAUGCGUUGUUGGGUAGGGGAGCGUUCUGUAAGCCUGUGAAGGUGUGCUGUGAGGCAUGCUGGAGGUAUCAGAAGUGCGAAUGCUGACAUAAGUAACGAUAAAGCGGGUGAAAAGCCCGCUCGCCGGAAGACCAAGGGUUCCUGUCCAACGUUAAUCGGGGCAGGGUGAGUCGACCCCUAAGGCGAGGCCGAAAGGCGUAGUCGAUGGGAAACAGGUUAAUAUUCCUGUACUUGGUGUUACUGCGAAGGGGGGACGGAGAAGGCUAUGUUGGCCGGGCGACGGUUGUCCCGGUUUAAGCGUGUAGGCUGGUUUUCCAGGCAAAUCCGGAAAAUCAAGGCUGAGGCGUGAUGACGAGGCACUACGGUGCUGAAGCAACAAAUGCCCUGCUUCCAGGAAAAGCCUCUAAGCAUCAGGUAACAUCAAAUCGUACCCCAAACCGACACAGGUGGUCAGGUAGAGAAUACCAAGGCGCUUGAGAGAACUCGGGUGAAGGAACUAGGCAAAAUGGUGCCGUAACUUCGGGAGAAGGCACGCUGAUAUGUAGGUGAAGUCCCUCGCGGAUGGAGCUGAAAUCAGUCGAAGAUACCAGCUGGCUGCAACUGUUUAUUAAAAACACAGCACUGUGCAAACACGAAAGUGGACGUAUACGGUGUGACGCCUGCCCGGUGCCGGAAGGUUAAUUGAUGGGGUUAGCGCAAGCGAAGCUCUUGAUCGAAGCCCCGGUAAACGGCGGCCGUAACUAUAACGGUCCUAAGGUAGCGAAAUUCCUUGUCGGGUAAGUUCCGACCUGCACGAAUGGCGUAAUGAUGGCCAGGCUGUCUCCACCCGAGACUCAGUGAAAUUGAACUCGCUGUGAAGAUGCAGUGUACCCGCGGCAAGACGGAAAGACCCCGUGAACCUUUACUAUAGCUUGACACUGAACAUUGAGCCUUGAUGUGUAGGAUAGGUGGGAGGCUUAGAAGUGUGGACGCCAGUCUGCAUGGAGCCGACCUUGAAAUACCACCCUUUAAUGUUUGAUGUUCUAACGUGGACCCGUAAUCCGGGUUGCGGACAGUGUCUGGUGGGUAGUUUGACUGGGGCGGUCUCCUCCUAAAGAGUAACGGAGGAGCACGAAGGUUGGCUAAUCCUGGUCGGACAUCAGGAGGUUAGUGCAAUGGCAUAAGCCAGCUUGACUGCGAGCGUGACGGCGCGAGCAGGUGCGAAAGCAGGUCAUAGUGAUCCGGUGGUUCUGAAUGGAAGGGCCAUCGCUCAACGGAUAAAAGGUACUCCGGGGAUAACAGGCUGAUACCGCCCAAGAGUUCAUAUCGACGGCGGUGUUUGGCACCUCGAUGUCGGCUCAUCACAUCCUGGGGCUGAAGUAGGUCCCAAGGGUAUGGCUGUUCGCCAUUUAAAGUGGUACGCGAGCUGGGUUUAGAACGUCGUGAGACAGUUCGGUCCCUAUCUGCCGUGGGCGCUGGAGAACUGAGGGGGGCUGCUCCUAGUACGAGAGGACCGGAGUGGACGCAUCACUGGUGUUCGGGUUGUCAUGCCAAUGGCACUGCCCGGUAGCUAAAUGCGGAAGAGAUAAGUGCUGAAAGCAUCUAAGCACGAAACUUGCCCCGAGAUGAGUUCUCCCUGACCCUUUAAGGGUCCUGAAGGAACGUUGAAGACGACGACGUUGAUAGGCCGGGUGUGUAAGCGCAGCGAUGCGUUGAGCUAACCGGUACUAAUGAACCGUGAGGCUUAACCUUACAAC